AGCCAAAGUCGCCAAAUCCAUCAGACUUUCCUACAUCUGUUCCACAUAACACAUCUCGGGAAGUGCUGCCACAGUAGCAUACUUGAGGACACAAUUUCAAAAACAAAGAUGCAGAAAGUGAGGCUUAGAGAAGUAACCUGCCCAAGGUCACACAACCGUUAAGUGACUUGACCCCAGGAAUUAAACAUUUGUCUGAAGUCAAAGCUGUAGAAAUUUGUUAUUUGUAACUAAUCAACUGUUAGUAUUGGGUAUUCCUCUUAUUUAGAAGUUGACUAGAUACAUUGUAAAGCUGGCUACUUACUGGACAGAGGGAUUCGCAUCCUAAAAACGUGCAACAGGACACUACACAAUUGCCUUUUCACAGACAGAAGUCUGUCCUAGUCACUCUUUUGGACCUGGAUAUCACUGGGGGAUAUUUCUUCUUAGAAGCUAGCAGUAUAGUAUCGUGGAAACCCCAUCUCCACCAUGUCCUAGCACUAUGACUUUGGGCAAGAUAUUUGGCCUUUUGGAGCCUCAUCAGUAAAAUGGAGAUGAUAAAGAUCUAUACAUCUCUGGGCUGUUGUAAGGAUUCAAUGAGUUAACUCUUGCAGAGUGCCUGGCACAGGGUAAGUGUUCAGUAAAUUGAAAUCAUAUUGCCCUUCACCCCAUCCUGUUACAUGCUAACCACCAGAUAUAUGUACUCAGAGCCAUGAGCAAAGUGUGUCUACCAGGAAUCUCCAGGGGUCUAGUGUUCCAACUUACAGGUUACAGGAAUGUGGGCAGUCCUGGCCAGGCUGUUUCUUUCUACAAACCUCACCACAACUAUGUGGAAUUUCAUUUCUGCUCCAUUCAGGAUUCUUUACCUUGCCUAAAACAUAUCAGAUCAGAGAGUCAAUGGUAUAAACUUCAACCACAUCUUAUACUUUAAUGAAACAGUAUAAUAUAGCUAGACAGCAUGAACUUCAGCGUGGUUUUCAUUAGUUUGACAAACACAUUAUCCCACAUCCUAAAAUAAAAAGAUGACUGUAAUGCUACUCAUCAAAAGCUUCACUGAGUAUGAUAAAUCCUAAAUUCUGGAUUAUCUGGAAAAGAGAAAUAAGUCAUUUUUACUUAUGAAAAUGCCACUUUGCCUAACCGACAUAUUUAAUCUAAAAAAAAAAAAAACAAACCCUACAAGGUAAAUCUUUUGUAAA